rnacentral:lncRNA from 10 species
UCCUGGGCUCAAGCAAUUCUCCCACCUCGGCCUCCAUAGUAGGUGGGACCACAGGCGUGUACCACCACACCUGGCUAAUUUUUUCAUUUUUUGUAGAGACGGAGGCUUACUAUGUUGCCCAGGCUAGUCUCAAACUCCUGGGCUCAAGUGAUCCACCCACCUUACCCUUCCAAAGUGCUGGGAUUAUAGGCAUGAGCCACCACUCCAGGCUAAUCUCUGCCUCCUUAGCCCCCUAACCAGGCCCCCUGCCUUUCUUGCUGCUCUUAAAACCACAGGCCCCAGAGACAGAAAAUAAGAUGGAAACCUGUCCACAUCACUUCCUUACUUGAAGCCUUCCUCAGCAACCCGUCACUUCAGCACCCAGCAAGGAUGCCCUCAG